CAUGAUUUUAAAUAGCUGCAGUAUUUCUGACUGUGCUAAGGUAGCAAAAUCAUUAGUUCUUUAAUUGGGAGCCGGAAUAAACGAGUUGACGAUACCCAGGCUUUUUUGGGGGGACUAGUGGAAAUUGAUAUCUGCAUCAAAAAGUGCAGCUUUUUAAGAAGACGAGAAGACCCCGUAAAACUUUAUUUCUAGAAAUUUUCUAAUUUUGUAGUUUGGAGAUGAAACUAGUUAUUGAGCUGGGGCGGCAGUUAAUUAAACUUUAUCUAAGGGUGACACUUAUGCGUGAAGCUGGAGAUCGUUAUAAUGAUAUAGAACAAGUUACUUUGGGGAUAACAGCACAAUUUUUUCCUACAGCACUUAUGGAAGAAGGAGACUGUGACCUCGAUGUUGAAUUGAGGGGCCGGAUUUAAGCAGAAAUAAAUUUUGGUGGUCUGUUCGACCUUUAAUCCCUCACGUGAUCUGAGUUCA
rnacentral:rRNA from 1 species